CAUGCAUCAUAGUUGUAAGACAGUAAACAUGGUGAAAAUAUACAUAUUAUACGAUAUUUCCCCCAUAUUAGAAUAUACCAGUUACAAGAUACGUGGAGUGAUAUUUUUUUGAUGAGAAACAAGUUCACUUAAAAGUUCUUUAAGACACCAUCAACUAUUAUCUAUCAUUAUCAAUUUGUUUUAUCGGAGAACACGUUUUCGGAUAUUAUAUAAAACUAAAAAUACUCUAUAUUUUAAAGAGCGUAUUGAUACGAAAUUAUAGUAAACAUUUUUGUUAUUGUAUUUGCCGUAUUAUACGAAACAAAAUUUCAAUUUGGGGUGUCAAUUUUGUUGGAACGGAAAUCUUCCGGUGUUCCGUUGGCCCAAAAUAAUAAUUCAGGCACGGAGAAUUUUCUAUAUUAGGUAAGUAUAUAGUACUAAAACGACGAGAAAAAAUACAAAUAUUUUUAUCACCGGACGUGGUCAAACUAUUCUGACUAAAGGAACAAUUUAUUGCGUAAACACAAUGUUACGGUGUUGUUAUAUAUAGGUACCUAUAGUCUUUCUCUCUCACUCUCUCUCCCUCUUUCCCUCUCACAGCUCUACCUCUCUCCCUAGUGGGUUUUCGUCCGAAUUUAAUGGAACUCUGUGCCCGUGCUUCGAGUACUGCAAAAAACUAGAAUAUUUUACAAUAAUAAUUUGCACAAUUGUGUAUACGCGUAUUAUUCGUUAGAGUUCCGGACUUCGCGGCGACGUACCGGUUAGCCUUCGGCCGAGUACAU